UUGCCUUAGUAACGGCGAGUGAAGCGGCAAUAGCUCAAAUUUGAAAUCUGGCUCUUUUAGAGUCCGAGUUGUAAUUUGCAGAGGGCGCUUUGGCAUUGGCAGCGGUCCAAGUUCCUUGGAACAGGACGUCACAGAGGGUGAGAAUCCCGUACGUGGUCGCUAGCCUUUGCCGUGUAAAGCCCCUUCGACGAGUCGAGUUGUUUGGGAAUGCAGCUCUAAAUGGGAGGUAAAUUUCUUCUAAAGCUAAAUACUGGCCAGAGACCGAUAGCGCACAAGUAGAGUGAUCGAAAGAUGAAAAGCACUUUGGAAAGAGAGUCAAAUAGCACGUGAAAUUGUUGAAAGGGAAGCGCUUGCAGCCAGACUUGCCUGUAGUUGCUUAUCUGGACUUUUGUCCAGUGCACUCUUCUGCGGGCAGGCCAGCAUCAGUUUGGGCGGUUGGAUAAAGGUCUCUGUCAUGUACCUCUCUUCGGGGAGGCCUUAUAGGGGAGACGACAUGCAACCAGCCUGGACUGAGGUCCGCGCAUCUGCUAGGAUGCUGGCGUAAUGGCUGUAAGCGGCCCGUCUUGAAACACGGACCAAGGAGUCUAACAUCUAUGCGAGUGUUUGGGUGUCAAGCCCAGACGCGUAAUGAAAGUGAACGGAGGUGGGAACCCUUUGGGUGCACCAUCGACCGAUCCUGAUGUCUUCGGAAGGAUUUGAGUAAGAGCAUGGCUGUUGGGACCCGAAAGAUGGUGAACUAUGCUUGAAUAGGGUGAAGCCAGAGGAAACUCUGGUGGAGGCUCGCAGCGGUUCUGACGUGCAAAUCGAUCGUCAAAUUUGGGCAUAGGGGCGAAAGACUAAUCGAACUAUCUAGUAGCUGGUUCCUGCCGA
rnacentral:rRNA from 1 species